rnacentral:lncRNA from 1 species
AUAUACCAAAUCUAACUGUGUAUGUAGAUUCUUCAUUUUUGGUCCUGUUUUCAAAUUGGUCUACACUAAAGUCCAAAGGGUCCAAAAUUAAACUUAGUCUGAUUUCAACAAAAAUUGAAAUCUUGGGGUUCUUUGAUAUGCUGAAUCCAAAAAUGUACUUAGAUUUUUUAUUAUGGGCCCAGUUUUCAAGUUGGUCCAAAUCAGGAUCUAAAAUUAUUAUAUUAAGUGUUGUGCAAAAGCAAGUCUUUUCAAUUGCACAGUAUUGCGCAAUGGCAAGAAAUAUCUAAUUGCACAAUAUUGUGAAAUAG